UCNCACCUGGAUUGUUAUGCUUACUACC
rnacentral:piRNA from 1 species